CCUACGGGGGGCUGCAGUGGGGAAUAUUGCACAAUGGGCGCAAGCCUGAUGCAGCCAUGCCGCGUGUGUGAAGAAGGCCUUCGGGUUGUAAAGCACUUUCAGCGGGGAGGAAGGCGUUAAGGUUAAUAACCUUGUCGAUUGACGUUACCCGCAGAAGAAGCACCGGCUAACUCCGUGCCAGCAGCCGCGGUAAUACGGAGGGUGCAAGCGUUAAUCGGAAUUACUGGGCGUAAAGCGCACGCAGGCGGUCUGUCAAGUCGGAUGUGAAAUCCCCGGGCUCAACCUGGGAACUGCAUUCGAAACUGGCAGGCUAGAGUCUUGUAGAGGGGGGUAGAAUGCCAGGUGUAGCGGUGAAAUGCGUAGAGAUCUGGAGGAAUACCGGUGGCGAAGGCGGCCCCCUGGACAAAGACUGACGCUCAGGUGCGAAAGCGUGGGGAGCAAACAGGAUUAGAUACCCGGGUAGUC
rnacentral:rRNA from 1 species